UAUCAUUGACUUAUGUUUUUUUUUCUCUUUCAUGUGACCAGUUUGGCUCUUAUUAACUGAAAACUUCAAUGUACUUGGCACAGUUCCAAACUGUGGCUUUCUUGAAGCCGCUUGAAAGGGGAGGGGGGUAUUUUUUUUGCAAAAGCUCUAUAGGGUGUAAGACGGAGGAAUAAAAGACAGAAAGAAAGAUGGCAGUAAUUGUAAUAUCCUGAGAUUUUUUCGCUCAGCCAAAAAAAAUCGUGCCAUUGAGCAACUUUCACAGGGCUGCCGCUGACUCGCUGCAGGACACAUACAAUCUGAUCAAGUUCAGAGACGCGCUGAGUGCUUCAAGCGGCGCUUUUUAACUCCAAGCCUUUCACAUCAUUUCCCCCUCAAUCUGUCCCAGGAAGGAGCUCACAUUCUUUAUUUUAGGGGAUCUGGACCUAAAAAAAAAAAUCUUCAAAUCAGUCCUUCAUUCUGCUUUCGCCCUCAUCCUACCGCAUUCACUCCAGAACAUAUCCUCGAGAAAGAGUUAUAGAUUGAAAAGGUCCUCUUGUUCCUCCGUCUCAUCUAUCUCUAUCCCUGCAGCUCCUGGCUAUCUUCACCCUCUAUGGUUCCUUCAUGAUGGCCUCCUAAUCUCUGCCAGUGUGGUUCCAUGUAUGCAUUGCAAGGUGGCUGUGUAAUCAAGCCUGUGAACAUCUGAAGGAAGGAUUCUGUUUCUGAUCACAUCCCUAUUGAAGUCCAUCCAUUAGAUCAACAGGGACGUGUUGACACGCUCAAGCUUGCACUACUUGCGGAAUAAUCCUGUGUUCGAGGUAUCUGGAAGAGGCAGGGGAUCAAAAAUCCAUCACCUAUGCAAAAACAGAGCUUUUCAUAUAGUUCCUUUAUUAAAGCGGGAUAUGGCUGAGGAUAUACCACGUUUGAGGGGCCAUAAAUAAUGCCAAGAAGCUUAUAGGGAAAAGAAGACUCCACUCCUUCUCUCCAGCUUCCUACCACACAGCUGUACUCAGCCUGCACAGUUAGGCCGUCGAGCCAUUAAUGAGUCCCAGCACUGAUAAUGAAGCCACAGAGGUGGUCUGAGCCAGUGUGGCACAGGAGCUGGAGCACAGAAGGAAGGUAGAUUAGGAUAAUUACCUGGCCACGGGGGAACGAUGAGUAAGAUGUGUCACUUCCUCGAUCGACGAAGGAGCAAGUACGAUAUAAUGAGGUGCAGACACCCUUUGCUCAGAAAGGGAAAAAAAGAAAAAAUUAGUUCCUAAUGAUCAAAAUGUGAAAUUAUGCAUUUUUGAUUUUGUUGUGACACUGAUUGCUCAUUCUCUGUUUUUGCAGGUGUCAUCCACAUCCCUCACGUAUGUAUGUAUUUGUUGUUUAUGUAGCUGUGCUUUAGGUCUCUCACACAUACUGUACGUAAGUCCUAAAUAUCCCCACUCACAGAGACUUUGAAGAGCCUAUGAGGUCAGGUUUUAAAUUAUGGUCUGCACCCACACCAAGCUUUCUCUCCCCACUCCUGUAAAUCCAUUUUUCACACAAUGCAUUUCAAAUGAAAGCAGCGUCACCAUAACACGCCUUAGGAAACAUUAAGCCAUAGUGCAGUACUUUCAUGUAUGAUAGCAUAGCCCCUGUAUGCUUUGAUGUGCUCACUUUUUUAAUGCUUUAUUAAUAAUAACACACUGGCUCCUUCUCACACCAACAUCAGCUUCUGGUGCUCCUUUUUCUCCUCCUGAACUACAUCCCUCACUCCUUCCAAGCCUCAGCUCCUUCAUCCCUCCCCAGCCCCUGAGCCUUGUCUCAGGAUUGGCCUGUUUGUGUUUGGGAGGGGGAUUAGAGGGAAGGACAUAGGCUUUGAGAUGAAGAGAGUGACAAAGACCUAUCAGAGGGCAGAGAGUACAGAGCGCUGCAUCACCAUUGGUUGCUGUGGUAAUCAGACACGUCUUCAUUUCUUCCAACCAUCCUCUCCGAAGUGCCCAGCUUUCAUUUCUACGCCCGGGGAGGGAAGCAGGGAGAGGAAGAGAGGGGGGGUCAGGAUUAGAGUUUCUGUUUGUGCAUUUAAGUGUGUGUGCACGUGUGUUUGCUUGCAUGCCGUGUGCAGUAAACAUCUUAGAUAUACAGAGGGAUGAGCGCGUAGACACUGAUAGCACUCACCUUCUCAAGGCUGGCCAAAAUACAAAUACAAAUGCUGGAACAGUUUAGUGUCAUUCUAGCUGAAUGGGAUGUUUGACUCAUAGAUAUGUAAAACCUACUUAGGAUACAAAUUUCUCUCAUUAUUUCAGCUUUAUCCCCACAUAUUGUGCAUUAGUGUUAUAGGCAAAGGUACCCAAAAGCACACAAUGGCUGUUCAGUAUUUGCUGUUUUUUCUUUUAACAAUUUCAAAGCAAUGUCAGUAAUUUACUGGAUCACUUAUAGCAGCCUCCCCACAUUCACAUGCGUGUGCAGAUCUGCACAAACAUCUGCUAAAUUAAUGUUCUGCUUUUGUGUUUUCUUUUUGCCUUUGUUCCUGUUUGAUGUUUAUUUCCUCUUUCCUGUUGUGUGGCAUCAUUGAAUCUUGAUGUUUGUUAUUAUAAUUUCAGCCCACAACUUCUGCAGCAGUUUCUCAAGUCUGUUAAAUGCAAUAUGUGGUUGUGUUCUAUAAAAUAAUUAAACUAAAGCAACUAAUUUCCAUUUCUUUCUAAAUGUGCUCUGUGCAGCUAAAUCUCCAAAAGCUCUACAUGGAUCUGCAUGUAUUUAUUUUGUCAUGUGUACCAUACUGGCAUGUAUGCACACUCACCAAUUAGUCAGUGUUAUGCAAUGUUUAUACACAGAUUUGACAGCAUUCUGCAGUGGAAAUCCUUCCUAAAGUUCUCAUAUGAUGCCUGUUGAGCUUGUUGUGCACCAGACUGUUGUCAGUAUUUGCCUGCUUGUUAGGAUGCAGCCAGUUGACUCUGGCUGUCUGAGCCGUGAUAUGACUGAGAGCAGUGGGGCUGGGCCCCAGCCGACUCCGCUCUCUUCUUCGCUCAUAAUAGACCUGCGUGGUCAGCAGGCUCUCUGGGGUCACCUGGCUCCCCUCCCUGCCACCUCUGGCCAGAUCAAUCGCCUAGGCUGUCCCAGCAUCAGAGAUCAGGGUCAUUUUAAAAGGCCUCCUGCCCACUUCCUGCCACCUAGUGUUCCAUUUCGGACAAAGGGUACAUUUCCUUUCCAUUCCCUCCACCCUCCGUUGCCCUUCUGCAAACAGGUUAAGGACAUGGAGGUGGUACAGCUCCUCUCUGUGAUCUCCUUCAGCCUCCUCCCCAGUUGCCCACACAGUGAGAGAGGGUGAGAGAUCAGUCCCAUCUAAACACCACACAAUCACACACCCAUUUAAUGUCAAAAUCUGUUUUUGGCCUAAGAAUGCAGACCUUCUUACAUGGAAGUGACUUGGUAAUUUUUGGUUAUCUUUACCUUUGGUUACAUUCUUUUUUCAUGGACUGGCAGGUGUUGAGUGGACUUAAAUCUUGUAUACAGUGCAUCCAUAAAAUA